AGUGAACGCUGGCGGUAGGCCUAACACAUGCAAGUCGAACGGCAGCACAGUAAGAGCUUGCUCUUACGGGUGGCGAGUGGCGGACGGGUGAGGAAUACAUCGGAAUCUACUUUUUCGUGGGGGAUAACGUAGGGAAACUUACGCUAAUACCGCAUACGACCUACGGGUGAAAGCAGGGGAUCUUCGGACCUUGCGCGAUUGAAUGAGCCGAUGUCGGAUUAGCUAGUGGGCGGGGUAAAGGCCCACCAAGGCGACGAUCCGUAGCUGGUCUGAGAGGAUGAUCAGCCACACUGGAACUGAGACACGGUCCAGACUCCUACGGGAGGCAGCAGUGGGGAAUAUUAGACAAUGGGCGCAAGCCUGAUCCAGCCAUACCGCGUGGGUGAAGAAGGCCUUCGGGUUGUAAAGCCCUUUUGUUGGGAAAGAAAAGCAGCAGGUUAAUACCCCGCUGUUCUGACGGUACCCAAAGAGUAAGCACCGGCUAACUUCGUG
rnacentral:rRNA from 1 species